ensembl:lncRNA
GCCGGGGCCGGCCGCGCUGCUCCUGGUGCUCCUGAUGAGCUGCAUCAGCUCAUCCCAGCCCACCACCACGGAUGGAGAGCCAUGAGGUGCCCGGAAAGAGGCGGCCUGAGCCCCAGAUGCUCCGGCUGGAGGUCGCCACCAGUGUCGGGCGCGGUGGCCGCAGGCAGCGGGGUCACCUCGGCCUGUGGGCACCGCCGGGCUGCGCGCACGGAGGCUGAGGGAGAGCGGAGCGUGGUGCUGCAGCGUCGGAAUCUGAGGAAAUAAAAGACAGUUUUUCUCCAAGGAAGAUGAAGGGAAGAAGCAGAGCAGGAACGAGCUUUCACCACAGCAACAGGAAGAUGCCAGCUAGCCUAAUGGGGGAUAUUUUGCCCUGUGCUAUAAUAGAAAAACAUAAAAUCUUAAGAUCAUAAUCAUGGAAUGAUUUGGGUUUGAAGGAUCAUCUCGUUCCAACCCCUUACCAUGGGCAGGAACACCUUCCACUAGACCGGGUGCUCCAAGCCCCAUCCAACUGGACUUGGACACUUCCAGAGAUGCAGGAGCAGACACAGCAUCUCUGGGCAACCUGUGCCAGUGCUUCCCCACUCUCAAAGGGAAGAAUUUCUUCCUAAAAUCUAAUCUAACCCUACCCUCUAUCAGUGUGAAGACAAAAAUAUGUGUAAAACAUCACAUGGGACUUACUACAAACACGUUCCAGGAGGAGAAGCUCUCUGAGAUGAUGGGGGCAGGCCCCAGAGGUGGUGGAAGAUGGGAGAUGCAUGUGGUGCUGCAGGGCAAGAGCUGGGACUGAGUAGAUGCAGGACCAGACCAGGUUGGCAUCUUUGCACCAGCCUUGCCACAUCCACCCCAUUCCUGGGAGGCCACAGCGAGCAUUCCUUUCCUGAUGCUCCUGAUGCUCCUCUGCUGGGGCACAGCACAGGACACAGAGGUGUGGGUGGACGACAGCCUUCCCAUCUAUUCAUCUCACUUGUGAGUGAAGGGGCUCUUUUUGGGCUGCAGCCUCUUUGCUACAGCCAGGAUCUGUCAGCAGGACGUGACGUACAGCGCUGUGGGACAGCUCUGCUCCCUGUGCUCCCCUCACACAGCAGGAAUGUCUCUUGUUUUCUCUCCUCCAGACCAUGUCGGAGCUGAGAGCAUCCAGCCGGGACGGCUCAAGGCCCAGGGAAAUCAGGCAGCUGCCCAAAGCAGCCAGGGCCUCCCUGCCUGUGCUGGAGUGCUGCAACACCCCUGGGCUCCUGCCACUGAGGGAGGGCUGGGAAUGAGCAUCCAUCACUUCCUGCACCAGCAGCCACCAGGGCAGCACACAAAGAUCUUCUCCCACUCCCCUUCCUCAUCCUGACUCUCCUCCUGAAGACCACCAGGCAUAGAUUGAGAAGCUCUGAGCUGGAUUUGUCCCUUGCCACACUGAUUAGACUGAAAGGUCUCAUGCCACAUGGUGGAUUUUUGGGGUUUUCUCCCAAGUCCAUGUUCUUCAUCCUCCAUCCAUAGGUCAUUUCUGGAUGUAAAGCAUAGAGUGUGUUUGUGAUGAUCAAGGCUAAAAUCUCUCCCAUAUCACACAGGCUGAGCCCAGGGUUGGACCCUAUUCUUGACUGGGUACAGCUGGGUUAGACAGAGCUUGGCUGAGCUGGUCCAAGACCUUGUCCAGCCCCUGCUUCUGGCUGUGCACAGGAGCAGGCACAGGUGAGGCUUUGUUGGUCCCCUGGGCUCAAGGUGAUACUGGACUGAGCACCUGCAGCUUUGUAGUCACUGGGAUGCUCUUCUUGGUUGCCUCAUCCCUGGGUUUCUGUGGAAAUUCCACUAACAUCACCCAGGACCUGCAGAGGAUGACACUUGCUGGGGUUUAUCCACUGAGGUCUCCACUUUUUCUACAUAGACUAUCUCAAUCCAAAUGACCAAAGCGUUCCCCAAAACUGGAUUUGUUUCCAUAAUUGCCUUCACCUUCUUGCCACCACAUUUCCCCAGCAGGACACAGAUGAUUCUCCCAGCCCUGGGCUGCCCAGCAGAGUCGUCUCUGCCCAGGCCUCAAAACCAAACACUUCUGCUCCAAAUUCCAUUCGAGGUGGUGAUGCCUCCUACAAAGCAGAGUUUUAUCUGCUGAGGACCAGCAUUGGUGCCUGAAGUCUGGAAUGGGUGCAACAUAUUCAUGGAAACAGUCUGUCCCAGCCUGUAUCAAGCCAAAGGUAGAAAACACAGGAGCAUGGCUUUGCCUCAUUUUGUGUUUUUAAAAUCAAAAUAUGUACAAGCAGAAUUGCUUUUACCCACCAGGGAAGCUCUGCAUGACAUCUGUUACCUUCUGUAUACGUGCAAUGCCUGUCUCUCAUCUCCUGCUGGUCACUAAAGAACUUGAGCCUGUUACUCCCACAUGUCCAAAAGGAGAUUCAGCAUUUGCAUCUCAUUGCAGGUGUCACACUUUGUUAACAUCUAAUGUUUCAUGCUUCUCAUGCAAUGGGUGACAAGAUGACUUCAAAUGCUAAUAACAUAAACAAGCACGAUUUAAAAAUGCUAAUAAAACAAAUAAAAAAGGUCCUUUAUGUUCCUCAAAAAAAAAAAUUAUAAUAAUAAUAAUAAUAAUAAUAGUUCUGUUUUAAUGAAAGGUGGAAUCUCUUGCUCCUGAGAGGAAAGAUUGCUAGCUGGAAUAAAGAGUGUUCAGCCCAGCUGUUUCUACUAUGAGGCCGUAUUUUAUUUCCCCUGAAGGUCCUUCAUGUUUCCACAGACAACUGUCCUUGCACAGCCCAAUAAAUUCCAUCACCUCAGCUGGCCAAACAACCACUGUGGUUGGGGGGGGGUCUGACCAGCUUCUAGGAUACCAACCAGCUUUGGGAGCUUCAUUUUUCACCUCCUCUUCUCCCAGUUGUCCUGGCUUGUAAGAUAAGCAUGGAUUCUAUUGCCAUCUGUUGGAGGUUGGGCAGUUUUCUUAUCUCUUCCAAGAACAAUGUCUCCCUCCGGGGAGAUAUCUUCUGUUAAUGGACUAUUAAAUGAUUCACUGCAUGACUGGUAAAGUUACAUCAUCCCAUGGUGAGAUGUUCCACCCAGAGGGGAGGAGCCAAGCAUUCCUACCUGCAUAAAAUCAGCACUUUUUGAGACACUGGCAGCCACUUGGCUGGAUUCCCAGAGGAGGACCAGGCCCAACUACUACCAGACCUUCAGAGAAAACAACACCCUUCUAGAGAUCACCACUUCAGCAGCAUUUCAUCUGCCACUCCAGGAGGAGCAGCCACCAUUUAACUGGACUACUACUAACACCCUGACUCCUCAGGGUGUCAGGUUUCUGACUCCAUCACUAGUUUUGUUUGUACUAAUU